GAUGAACGCUGGCGGCGUGCCUAAUACAUGCAAGUCGAGCGAACGGACGAGAAGCUUGCUUCUCUGAUGUUAGCGGCGGACGGGUGAGUAACACGUGGAUAACCUACCUAUAAGACUGGGAUAACUUCGGGAAACCGGAGCUAAUACCGGAGAAUAUUUUGAACCGCAUGGUUCAAAAGUGAAAGACGGUCUUGCUGUCACUUAUAGAUGGAUCCGCGCUGCAUUAGCUAGUUGGUAAGGUAACGGCUUACCAAGGCAACGAUGCAUAGCCGACCUGAGAGGGUGAUCGGCCACACUGGAACUGAGACACGGUCCAGACUCCUACUGGAGGCAGCAGUAGGGCAUCUUCCGCAAUGGGCGAAAGACUGACGGAGCAACGCCGCGUGAGUGAUGAAGGUCUUCGGAUCGUAAAACUCUGUUAUUAGGGAAGAACAUAUGUGUAAGUAACUGUGCACAUCUUGACGGUACCUAAUCAGAGAGCCACGGCUAACUACGUG
rnacentral:rRNA from 1 species